rnacentral:pre_miRNA from 1 species
CAAAUACUCUCUCCGUCCGAAAAUACUUGUCAUCAAAAUGCAUAAAAAGGGAUGCAUCUAGAACUAAAAUACGUCUAGAUACAUCUCCUUUUAUCCAUUUUGAUGACAAGUAUUUCCGGACGAAGGGAGUAGUUA